UCACUCCAUUUUGACACUGCUUUUUGAUUUUGAUCUUAAUAAUACGGUGCGUAGAGUAACUUAAAAUUAAUUAUAUGGUACUUGACUAUAAGGGAGGCCGCGCUUUUGAAAAGAAUCAGUGUUGGUGCAGCCGGCCACCUGCACUGGGUCGUAUUAGGCAGCAAAGAACAGAAUAAAUUGCCGAAGAUUUCUUAAUCAGGGGAAGUUCAACUCAAAUGUUGGGCCUGAGGACGGUUUGGAACUAUGAAGGAAAUGUUUAUUUUGCAGAGAAGAUUCCAAAUAUCAUAUAGAUAAUAUCAUCUAAGAAGUAUCACCUAAGGAGUUUGCAGUGCUUUCCUCAGUUUUCUGUUAAGAUGCUGCUUGACCUGUCAUGUACCUCCAAGGGUACAAUUCAGCCAUCAGGAAACUGAACCAUCCUACCAACAUCUGGAGUGCAGUCCUGGGCCAAUAUCUACCUCACUGGAGACCCUCAUACCAUCUUUGAUCAGACUUUACUAGGCUUUAUUUUGCACUAAACGUUAUUCUCUUU